GGAGGGCUCUGGCCUGCUUCAACACAUCCUUCCAUUCAGAUCUUUCCUAGGCCUUUCGUCUCCACGCCCUAACCCCAAGCUGUUGCAGAUCUGCCUCCACAUCAUCAAUCCAUCGCUUUCGGGGUCUGGCUUUGGGUCGCCUGCCUUUUUUUUUUUUUACCUGUAUACAAUUUUCGCUCCUGCUGGGAGAAAGCCUGGAUUAUAAAUUUACAAUGGUUGUGCUAACAAUUCGUCAGAACUCGCCUCUCUUCCAUGCUGAUCGGAUUUAAAGGGAUGGAGAAACAUCGCAUUUUGGGGACUGUGGCUAAGCCUUGUCCUCUUUCUCAGUAAUCUAGCAAGGAAAGUGACUCGAUGAGAAGCAUAU